GCCACUUGGCUGUCCCCAAGUCAGGAGGCUGGGAAGCAAAGCGUUCCCUGCGAGAGGAAUGUGAGCGCUGAAUGGCGGAGGACAGCCGGGGGAAGUUUGGGAGCAUGCUUGGCCACCGGGCAACUUACUUCACCCAGUUUUCAGUGUGAUUGUGGGAAAGGCGGAUCCACUCUUCUUUCAUGCCUCAUAAGCUUCAUCGCUGUCAGACUAACAUAACAGAUAAGCAAGACCCUGGAGGAGGACUCUCUUGCCUGGAAAAGUAUACUGAGACAUCUCAAAUAGGAGGGGGCUGAUUACUAGCAUAUAUUGGGACUGAUCUACAUUACUGCUUAAAUCAACCUAACUUACAUCGCUCAAGGGUGUGAAAAAGAUACCUCCCAAGCGACACAAGUGACAGUGACCUAAGCACUGUCCACACCGGUGCUAUGUCAGUGGAUAUAGCCGAUACAACUUCCACCUCUGGUGGAGGUGGAGUAAUUAUGCCGACAAGAGAACACUCUACCAACAGCAUAGCACGUCUUCACCAGAGGUGCUACAGCGGCAUAGCUGCAUCGGUGCAGCCGUGAGGAUGUAGCGCUCUAGUGCAGACUUGCCCUUAGUCUCUCAUUCUAAGAAUGUUAUCUUCUGGAUCCUAAGUACAGCAAGACUUAUUUAUUGUAUUCCUGCAUGGGAUAGUAAUUGUUUCUUGUAUUCCUGGCACCCUAGUAUUUUUGGAGCACCAGGUUCUAACUCAGUGGAGUGGGAAUAGUGAAGCCUACUGAAAAGGCACACUUGCCCUUCAGGCACAAAAACUUAGCAAAG